UACGGGGGGAGCAAGCGUUGUUCGGAAUCACUGGGCGUAAAGGGCGUGUAGGCGGUUCGGUAAGUGGGAUGUGAAAUGCCCGGGCUCACCCCGGGACCUGCAUCUCAUACUGCUGAGCUUGAGUACAGGAGAGGGUGGGGGAAUUCCUGGUGUAGCGGUGAAAUGCGUAGAUAUCAGCAGGAACACCCGUGGCGAAGGCGGCCCCCUGGGCCGAACCUGACGCUGAGGCGCGAAGGCUAGGGGAGCGAACGGG
rnacentral:rRNA from 1 species